CAAAAAAAGGUUAUCAAUGAAACUUUUUAUUUCGUUCUUUUUUUAUUUUUUUAUGGUUACAAAAUAUAUUUGUUACAUAAGAUGUUUUUAGAUAUCUUGGAGAUCUUCUCUUUUAAAAAAGAACUAGAUCAGUACGCACGAGUUAUAUUUCAUAUUAAUCUAUAUACCUUUUUUCUUUUGUCGGCAAAAGAAAACUAUGCUAUGACACUCUCGGAAAGAGACUCUCCGCUAAGGAGAGCCAGUCGGGGGUCGAAGUGCUCAUAUGCGAGAAGAGGCAGUCGCGGGCUCGUGCUUUUUUGGCAAGAUGAUCGGCCCGGAUAUUGGAUAGACGGGGGAGAAGACGUAAGCGGAAAGACGGGAACAUAACUUAGAGAGACUUGAAAGAUGCCAAUUCUGCUGCAAAGGUUGGCCAAUCUGAAGGACUCUCCACCAUAGCUACAAGAUCAGAGCAAUCGGAGGCGAAAGUAGCAGAUGUGUGCCCCAAUUUAAUCAUACAUUCCAUUGCCCAAAGGAGGGCAUCAAAUUCGGCAUGAAGGGGUGAUAGACUUCGACGGACAUUCCUAAGUCCCAGGUGAUGAACUAUAUUCAAAUCCGCCAAAACCCAUCCUAGACCACUUAAGGAUCCAGAUGGAGUCCAGAUAUCUCGAGGCCGAGGUGGGAUAGCAGAGGAGGGUUCCGGCGUAGAAUCCUUAUCCAUAGCUCUCUGCCACACCUGCGCCUCCUGAAGUGAUAUUUGUAGAGUCUCAUCCGGUGGGACCCGGAGAUUUUCAAAAACAAAGCUAUUACGGGCCUUUCAGAUGUACCAUAAGAUCCAUGGGAAGGCUUGUAAUAGCAUGACAUAUAUUCCUCUUUCUUGACCUCGACAAAAGAGGAAGUCAAAAUUGUUGAAUAGAGAGAAUCUUGGGAAAAUGUCCCCAGAGGUUGUCAUGGGAGAAAGAGCCCAAACUUGUCGAGUCGGAGGACAGUCAAAGAGGAGGUGAUUUAAUCUAUAUACCUAGAAGAAGAGUUUAUUAGUUUUAUAACACUAAGACCAACAUUAUUGGGAGAUUCUUAAUUAGGGUAUCUUAGUUUAAAUUUAGUAUUAAUUUUGAAAAAGUGAAGUUUAAGAGUUUUAGUUUAGUUUUGAGUUUUGAUAUGUGUUUAUUGGUAGGAUCUUAAAUUGGGUAUCUUAGAAAAAAAUAUUAUUAUUUUUUUAAAAUAAAUAUUUAAUUUGUAAUUUAAGAAAAUCUUAUAAUAAUUGUAAAUUUAAAAUGUGAAAACAUACAUAAGAUAGAAACAAUGAUACAAUAAUUUUAAACUUGAUUGGGGGAAAAUUUAUUCCAAAGAUGCUCGACCAAAUCGUUCUUCAAUUGUUCAUGCAUAUUUCGAUCUCGAAGUCGAGUUCUAGCGGUCAUCAUAUCGACGACAUUUGAAGGCAUAUCUGUUUCAUACGAGAAAUCCACUCUUGUACUUCCUUCAGUUUCUACUUGUUGGAAUUCAGUGACAUCGAACUGAGUAUACAUAUCUCGUUCAUCUUCUACUAUCAUAUUGUGAAGUAUUAUGCAUGCCCGCAUAAUAUUUCCUAUUCUUUCCUUAUCCCAAAUAAGAGCCGGAUUUUUGACAAUGGCAAAUCGAGCUUGUAAAACUCCAAAAGCCCGCUCAACAUCUUGUGGAAGUGGGAUCGAUUGGAUAAAUGUAGCCCAUUUUGGAUAAAUUCCAUCUGUCAGAUAGUAACCCAAACUAUACUGGGUUCCGUUGACUACAUACUUGCAUUUUGGUGCUCGUCCUUGUAUGAUAUCAUCAAAAACAGGAGAUCGAUCUAGAAUAUUGAUAUCAUUUAAAGUACCUGGAGGUCCAAAAAAUGCGUGCCAUAUCCAAAGAUCUUGCGAAGCUACAGCCUCUAAAACGAUCGUUGGUUUUCCCGAGGCUCGUGUAUAUUGACCUUUCCAAGCGGUUGGGCAAUUCGUCCACUCCCAAUGCAUACAAUCGAUGCUUCCCAUCAUCCCGGGAAAUCCUCUUAUCUCUCCAAUAAUGAGGAGCCUUUGAAGAUCUGCACGGGUUGGUUUUCUUAAGUACUCAUCUCCAAAGCAAAAAAUAAUACCGUCAACAAAAUGUUACAUGCAUUUCAUGGAAGUGGUUUCACCAAUCCGGAGAUAUUCGUCAACCGCAUCAGCCGCAUAACCAUAUGCAAGCAUGCGAAUUGCUGCUGUACACUUCUGUAAUGGAGAGAAUCCUAACCUUCCGGUCGCAUCCCGUCUUUGUGGAAAGAAAAGAAUUUCAUUGGUUAGUCGAUCCACGAUACGCAAGAAUAAAUGCUUAUUCAUUCUAAAACGACGUCGGAAUAAAUUAGGCGGGAAGGUUGCAUUAUCUCCAAAAUAAUCGUUCCAUAACCUUAUGUGACCUUCUUCACGAUAUCUUUCGAUAUGAACUCUUUUUUUUCUUGGUUUUCGGGGUCGUUGAUCCUCCUCCAAAGAAUAAUCAAAUUCUUCUUGAAUUUGGUUAUCAAAUUCUUCUUGAAAAAGAUUAUCAAAUUCUUCAUUCAAUACUUGUGAAAAUUCAUCAUGAGAAGAUGAAGCCAUUUUGUAUAUAAAUUACAAAAUGAAAAGAACAAUUUUGUGGUUUGGUAGAUUUUUGGAGAUUGAGGUUUUUCUUGGUUUGGUUUGAGGUUGUUGACGAUUUUGUAUAUAAAUUAAAAAAUAUUGUUGACGAUUGUGAACGAGAGUUCUGUUGAGGUUUUUGUUGAAUAAGGAUUUUGUGAACGAUAGUGGUUUGGUAGUGGUGUGGUUUGAGGUUUGUUUUGUCAACGAUUGUGAAGGAGAGUGGGUUGGUAGUUUUGUGGUUUGAGGUUUGGUUUUGUGAACGAUUGUGAAGAGAGUGGGUUGGUAAUGGUUUGGUUUUGUGAAGGAGACUUUUGUAAAGGUUGUGAACGAUUUGUAAAAACUAAAAAUGACACAAAAGAAAGUGAAUAUAAUUUUUGUCAAAUACAAAGUGAAUGAAAUUGUUUUGAGAAGUGAAUGCAAUACAAAGAGAAAGUGAAUGCGAUGAGAAGUUCAAAUGACUUGAAAAAUUUAUAUACAAAGUUCAGACUUCUGUAGUGUCCGUGAAUUGCCAAUGAUGAAACUGUGCCAUGUAUGUCCGUGAACGGGUGAAGUUUUCACUCUCCCCACCAAUUUCAGACUUCUUUGUUUUCUUCUUCUUUGCCAUAGUCACGUGAAGCUACAAAACAGAAAAGAGUGUCAAUAAAGGAACUGAAAUAUGACCAAUGUAUCACACAAACAUUGAUUGAUCAUUGAAUAAAGAAACUUGUCCCUGACCACAAUCAUUCACGUGAACCAAACUUUGAUUAAAGAACAGACAUUACAAUACAAUCCAAGAAACAUAAACAUUGAUUAAAGGCCAGAUAUUACAAUACAAUACUGAAACUAUCUCACAUAACACAACAUUUAUCAAACAUAACACAGACACUACCAAACUGAAACAAACAUAACACAGACACUACCAAACUGAAACUAACAUAACACAGACACUACCAAACUGAAACUAACAUAACACAGACAUUAGACAACAUUGUUCUCCACCAGAGAUUCAAAAGAAACACAAACUAAUUAGCUUUGGUUUAAGGUCUUUCUCUAUCUGAGAUAGAGGACCGGAUUUUGCUAAAAUAGUGUCUAGCAAUUUCUUGUUUGAGAUUUUAUCAUUGAACUCAUGCUCUUUUUGCUUCAAUGCAAAAUCCUUUUCCUUUAACUCCCACAUCGUCUUCAUCCUUUCCAAUCUCUCCAAACCUCCAUCAGCAGUCACUGAACUAGUGACAGUCUUCUUGGCACUAGCCUUGGCUGCAGCCUUGGCAGCCUUAACUCCUUGUGGUCUUGCUUGAGGAGCUUGUGAUUCUCCUUGAGUUUGAGACUCUCCUUGAGCUUGAGAGUCUCCACCAUCUUCAGAACAUUGCAUAGAGGAUGAAUCUAGCUUCCUUCUUUUGUUCUUCUCGUCUCCUUUAGAAGCUACCAUUGAACACCACUUCUGAUCGUAUCUGAGUUCUCUCCAUGCAUGCUCCAUGGUGAAUUUUUUCUUGUAGUCACCCUCAUAGAUGAGGUGAGCUUUCUUUAUCAAAUCAUCAUCAUUUAUCCCACUACUAUUCAGACUUGAUGCAGCUUGGUAAGAUCCUACGAAUUUGCAAACUGACUCAUUUAUCUUGCACCACCUUUGUUUGAAGUGAUUAGCCUCUCUUUGCUUCAGACCAGCCACCUUGGGACUUGCAGCCACAUAAGCUGCAAUCCUCUUCCAGAAGGCUGCUCCCCUUUGUUCAUUUCCAACAAUGGCGUCUUUGCUGGUGUUGAGCUAUGCCGAGAUCAAAACUAUGUCUUCUUUGCUUGUCCAAGCAAUCCUCUUUCUUGGUGCAGCCUUAGCAGCCAGGUUAUGAGCUUGAGCCGUUGGCUGAGACCAAUCAGUGGUGAAGACAACUUCUUCACUUUCACCAAGUCUAAUACUUCGUGAUGGAGAGUCAAAACAAGGUGGCGGCUGAGGGUUAUGGGAUUCAUUUUGACUAGUUAGAAGAUCCAUGAAGCCAACAGAGUUGGCAUCAUAUGGAUUCAUUUAGAGAAGAGAUUGAAAAGGUUUUAAAGUUUGUUCUUUUACUGUCAAAGAGAAACAGAUAGAUUUAGGUGAAGUGGUUUGUGUUAAGUGUAAACUAUAUACAGUUAGAGUUAGGUUAAUGAUUUACUGUUUUUUUACAGUUGCGGAGGUCAUUAAAGUGUGCAUUUAUCACAAACAACAAGUACUACCCUAUAUGAAACAACAAGUACUUCCCUAUAUGAAACAACUGUAAACACUACACAAACACUUGCAUGCAUUUAUCAUUUUUACUAUCCUAUCAGUUCAACUCAAUUCUCACCUAAACUACUCAAUUUGACUAAAUCAACCAUCAACCAAAUAACAACAUCUACUACUAGGGAUCUUUAAUGUGAUAACUUACAAUUUUAAACGUCUCUGGCCACCUCUGAUCAAGCUGCUACACUCUCAAUUGUCAUUUGUAGGAGAAGCAUUUGAUACAGCAACAUGAUACAUACACCUCGCAUAAAACAGAGAACACUCUAUUAAAUUCAUAAGACAUAAACAAAUAUGUCAACAUUACAAAGCUAAACAUCUCAAUUAUAUCAUCCCUAUAACCUAAAACCAUUCAAUUCACGAUAUUAUAACUUACCAGGAUUGAACGCAAAGUUGCCAUCCUCUGACUUAGCUGAUCAUCUUUCAACCUUCUAUGUAUCCUUUGUCUCAGACAGCUCUCGUUCAUCUCCUGGUAUCAGACAUCAAACAACAAAAUCAAUAUCAACAAUAAACCAAAUAACAACAGAACCAACUCGGGAUAUAUAAAUGUCAAACCACUUUCAGGUGAUCACUUACAGGAUUAAUUCUCUGGCCUCCUCUGAAGUCUCUGCUACACUCUCAAUCCUCAUAUGUAGCAGAGCAGAUAACAUACAUACACCUCGCAUAAAACACAUAACAAUCUAUCAAAUUCAAAAGACAUACCCAAAUAUUUCAACAUUUGACACACAUACAUAUCAAUUAUACCAUCCCUAAUACCAAAAAUUAUUCAAAUUCACGAUACUAUUAAGAUCUAACAGACUAAUUAACGAAAAAUGAAUCACACGAGACAAUGCAUACAAUCGGGUUUAUCCUGUUUCUCAAAUAAUUCAUGCCUUACAUUCAUGCCACACAAUCAUCCACGUUUAUAAUUACCCUAAUUGAAGAUUUAAUUACGGGUAAUAACGUAUACUUCGGAUAACAAAAACUACAAUAAAUCCAUGUAUUAAAAAAAUAGAAAUACUUAAAUCUUUAGAAAACAAAAAGGUUAAAACAUGAAUUUUUAAAUUGAAGAAAGUAAUGAUAAAUAAAGAUGAAACUGAAAGAUCAAUAAAAUUAAAAAUCGAACAAGGAUUGUUUAUGCUAGGAUUACAGACAGUGCCUUGUGAAUGAAAAUGGUGGGAGCAUGUGACUUAGAUUGAUAACUAGAUUUUUAUUAGUUUGAUAAAAAUAAAUAUUUAAAUGAGGAAUACGGGUAUCCCGUCUAAAUCUUUUACCAAGUUUCUUAUAAUAAACAUUGGCAAAUGAUUAUGUUUUAAAAAGAAACGAUUAUGGGACAGAAAUUUUAUGACAGAUAGAAGACGGGACGGGACGGGGCAGGGUGGGACGGGACGGGUCAGGACGAGACGGAAAGGGACAUGACGGGUUUCCAUUAUAAACUACACAUAAAAAAUUCAAACUAAAGCCAAACCCAAAUACGAUUUAACAUCUCUAAGAAAACAGUUAGAAAUGUUUUGAUUAGUUUAAAAAAUAAACACUUAAUAUCACUUAUCAUUUUCAUUUAAAUAAUUUUAAAAUUGUAUUAUGUAAUACAAUAUCUAUAUUUUACAACUGUAUGUCUAUAUAUAUUUUAUCAAAUAAACUCAUAUAACAAAAUCUAACAAAAAUAGCAUCUACUUGAAAAAUUGUAAUUUUGUAAAAAUAACACCGCACGUACGUGCGGGUCCAUCACUAGUUCAGACAUAAAAGAGAAAGAAAGAAAAGAGAUAAGGCUGUAGGAUAGUAUAGUCAUUCACCUAUAUACAGUAAAGAUCAAAUAGUACUCAAGAGAGAGACCUAAUUUUUGAGUAUUUUGUGUAUUUUCGUUAUAAAUGCCCUUUUUAUAUUAUAAUUUUUUAUAUAUUUUAUAUUUAAAACAAAGUUUUGAUAUAUUAUGAUAGUUACCGUUAUUUUUGUCAUCUAUAUAUAUAAAGUUAAUUUUUUCUCUCUUCUCCUUAUGCCAAAUCAUCUUCCACACAAGCUGCCACAUCAUCAUGUAUCUUAAUUUUUUACAUUGAUUUAGAAUUAUAACACUUUAGAUUUUAAUUUCUUUUAUACCUCAUAACUUAGCCUUUAUUUUAUUUUUAUAUUCAGUAGUGGUUUUAAGAAAAUAAAUAAUAUACUAAAAAACAUUUAUGUACAAAAUAAAUAAAACAAGUAUCUAUUUAUAAAGUAAUGAUCAAUUUUUUGAUUAAUGGGGCUAAAUACAAAACAAAAUACAAAAUACAAAACAAUGAUAUUUAUACUAUACAGAUAAAUAUACCACUAAAUUGAUGUCAUCCAAAGCCACAUCAAACGAGAACACAACCGAUUUUAAGCAUAAGAAGUAGAAAAAAAAAACUAAAAAAAAAAUUGAAAACACUUGAAUAAAUAAAUAAGUGGAUUCACCAGAAUAAUUUGACCUACAAGAAUUGAAGACUUUUGAAAUGUAAGGUUAUAACAGCUACUAUUUGACUUGAAUCAAAGUUAAACAAAUAACAAUAAACAUUUCAUAUAGUAAAUUAAUACAAAAACAAGAGUGAAAACAAAAAACAAAAAAAAUCAAAAUAUAAAAUUUAAAAUAUAAAAAACAAUUAUAAAACUUCCGCACGUAGCGCGGAUCAACAACUAGUUUGUUAUAAAGAUCACAAUUCAUUUUACCAUAUAGAACAUUACAUUUUAUAUAAAUAUUAACUUUCUUUAAUAUUAUUUUAAACAAAAUAAAUGAUGUUUAAAAUAUAAAUAACAGAUUAUUUGUAUUAAAAUAUCAAAACUAAAACGUGAUAAUAUUUUUUGCAUACUACAUGUAUAGUUAUUUAAAUGAUUUUUAAGUUUAAAAGUAACCAAUAAUCAAUACAAACAUACCCACACAAACUUAAUAGUUAAAAUAAUAAAACUUAGCAUAGUCAGGUACUGCUAGCCCAAAAAGAAAGCAAGAAUAUUUAGGUAAAGAAUGGCAUCCUGCAAGUGACAUUUUCAUCUUACAAGUGAGUUUUGCAUGGAAAAAUACAUGCGCAUCUAAAAUAUUCUUUGGAGAUAAAUCCAUCUCUAGACUUCACUCUUUUAAAAUAUUUUCCCCGGCAAGGCCUGCACCGAAUAGGUUUUGCUCCGAAUCUCGUUGUCUUUGACUCUUUAAUACAAUUAGUACUUGCCAUGCAAAUUCCUUCGUGAUUCUCUACGUGAUGACACUCCCAAGGUAUCAUUUUAGACACUAGUGGGGCACUCGGAGACUCGGAGUGGCCCUAACGCCUAACAAGAAAAUCAGAGAAUAGAAGAAGAUUAAUCGGAGAUUCGUUUUAGGGUUAUUUUAUUAAAUUAAUGAAAAAAUAUUAAGUAUAUGAUAUUAAUUAUAUGUAUAGUUCCAUUUCUCUUAAUGGAAAGAACAAUAUAACAUGCAAACCUGUAAUAUUGGCUUCAAAAUUAUAGUUAAUAAAUGUAAACAUAUUUUUAAACCCAAAUUUAUGAUUUUCAUAAAAUUUUGAACAGAAAUUAUCAUAAAAUAUCAUAUAAUUCCCAGUUUAAAUGUUUGAUAACCGAUAAAAAAAGUAGACGGGGAUUAGUCAUUAAUCGAAGCGAAUAAAGUGGGUCUAGUGAUUACACAGAGAGUAAUCAUAGUUAGGCGGAGAUUUUUUAAACAGGGCUCCAAAGGUAUGAACCAAGCUUUCACAUCUUGCAUUUUAUUUAUAUUAUAUUGUUCAUGAAAAAAUGUUGUAAUGGUUGUUGGUAGAAAUCAAAGUUUAUUAGUUGUUGGUUCCCAUCUGUUUUCUUUUUGCGGAAAAAUUAACUAUCUUUGGAAAUAUAUAUAUAUAUAUAUAUAUAUUUCCCUUUAAUUUUAGUUUUGUUGGUGAUUUGAAACACCAACAAAACUAAAACUAAAGGGAAACUAAUAUUUUACCUUGCACGUGACUCCAAACAACGAGUAAUAUCAAAAUUGAAGAAGAAACCAUGAACAAAGUAGCAGAUCUCAUGACUGAUCAAUAUAAAUUAAAUUUGGAGAAAUUCUAUUUUGUUUUCUUUGUAACACACUACUCGGUAAUAAGUAUAUGUAAAUACACUCCUAAUUAUAUAGCCAUUAAUCUACUAAAUUUUGGGGGAAAAGAGAGGCUAAAACUGGUUUACAAAAAAAAAAAAAAGAGAGGCUAAAACUAAUUCAGUAUAAAAUCAGCGAGAUUAAUGGUCAUCCUUUUAAAUUAUACUUGUACUAGUCGGUUAUCCGCGCUACGCGCUGAAGUUUUAUUAUCUUGUUUAUGAGUAAUUAGUUCGUAUUUCCUAUGUUUUUUUUCACUAUAGCAUACUUUAAUUUAUUAAUCUUAGAUUGCGUUUGUAUAGAAAACUUGUUGAGUUUUAGCUUUAUUAGUAGUUGAGAAAGUAAAUGUAUAUAGUAUAGGUCGAUGUGUGGGUGUAAACGGAUGUGCGGUGGAUAAUCAUAGAGAAACAUUAAGAUUUCCACCAAAUAUAGAUCUAAAUGUUAAUAUUGUGGGCCCUUUUAAUAUGUUGGUCCGAACGUCGAAAAUGAUUUGUGGGUUUUGGGCGGAUUGUUGUAUUUUUUAUUAGUUACAUUAUCUCUUUAUAUAUUGUCAUAAUUUAAUUUUUUAUUUUACGUUUUUCUUUUUUCGAUUUGAUGUAAUUGAUAUCUCAUAAUGAUCAUUUUUAUACUAUUAUAUAUUUUCUGAUUUUCUGUUUUAUAUAUUUUUCGUAUUUUCAUAUGGAACAAUUUUAAAAUUUACUUUAUAUUUUGUAAGACAUAAAUUAGAUAUAUUUCUAUUCUCAAAAUUUCUUACUUUUUGUUUUAUUCCCGUUAAAUCCCAUUAUAAUUUAGGUUUAUAUUGUGUAAAUAUAAUCAAAUUUUGUGUCAUAUUAUUUUUAAUCGAUAUAUAUAUAUAUAUAUCUAUAUUCAUUAUAAAGCAUUCACUUAAAAACUAUAAUCUAUUAUUUAUAUAUUAGUUAGUAUAAUCAAUAAUUAGUAAGAUUUAUAUUUUUUAAUCAAUUAUUUUUUUAGUUUUAUAAUAUAAAAUAUAAGAAAAAACCUUUUAUAUUCCUCUCUCGAAAAAUUAUAUGUAUAUUUUUAAAUCUUAAAAUUAUAUGAUAAAAUAGUGUAAUUAAUUUUAAAAUUAAAUGAAUGAUGAUUAGGAUAAUGAAGUGGCUUAAAGAGAAGGGAGAAAAGUUAACUUUAUAUAUAUAGAUAGAUAGAUGCUUAGAAAAAUAUACUAGUAGUCGCUUCAAUAUUUUAAUACUAAUUAUAGAUAUUUUAAAUUCAUAUAUAUAUAUAUAUAUAGUUGAUCAUGACAAAAAUAAAUACCCACUAUAUUAUAUAUUGUCGCUCUACGUACUGAACUCUAUUCAGAUGAAAACCCAACCUUGUGGGUUUAGUUUAUGCUUGAAAUUUAGGGCCAAGUUGACGGUGAAGAGAGGAAUGUGCUUUAGUUAAGUCUAUGGGAGAGAUCGAUGGAGGCCAAGGCUAGCUAUAACAGAGAAUAUGGACCUCUAUGUUUCACAACAUGUUCCGAUUUAUAUUGCAUAGGUAAUGUAAAUUAAAUACACUCCAAACAUGUUGUAUAUAUAAUUACUUUAGAGAGACCCACAAAUAUAUUCUUGUUUUUUGAAGAAAAUUUCUAUGCAGCUCAUGUUACAUUUUUAUGUUACACUAAGUCAAGUCGAGUGUUUUUUUUAAAAAAAAAAUUCAAAUUCUGAUCAAAUAAAAAUACGGAGACCUGAGUCUUCCUUGAUUUCACCCGUUCUUGAAUUUUUUAGGAUCGAUUGAAAUUUUAAAAAGCAUCAAACGUUAACGCAACUUACACGUAAAUGUUUGGAACAUACCAAAACGCUCCCAACCGCUUCUAAGAAGUCAUCAGGUAAUAAAUAUCUAAUAAGAUCCCAAAACACCAUUAGACAAAACUGAGACAAUAUUUUGCAAGUGAUAAGUGAUAUGACUUGAUAAUAAUAAAAAAAACUUAUAUGUGGCGCCACAUGACAAAACUGAUAAAAUGUUGUCUUUGUAGUUUCCAGCAGUGGCAUGUAGAAAGAAAAAUAAAAUAAAAUAAAAAGACAUGUCAAGGUCAACCUUAAUUAGAGAUGGAACACAAACAAGGGAUAUAUGCAACCAUUCUUUCUAGCAACUAUAGCAUCUAUGAGUGAGAAUGCUAGCUUAGCUCGUCAUCGAGUACACAUUAAGACCUCUCCAUGCUCAAAAGGGGACAAUAGUACCAGCAUUCUCUGUCGGAGAGAGUGUGUUUACACAAAGUCUAGGAAACUCAUUAAAGAGUUCCAAAUCAGAUCAACACAACGGUAACAAAAUAAAAUAAAUGUAAAAGCAGAAAUAAAAAUGUCUUUCAACAUUUACUCUUCUGUCUCAUUAGUCAUUUACGAAGCUUUAAUUUUUAUGUCAAAUGUAGAACAAAACCAAUCAUGUUCAGGAACAUUUGUUGAUGGAGGAUCGCAUCACAAAACAAACACAAUGUUACUAGUACUCGAGGAAAGGACGAGAUUUUUUUUAGUUGUUCCAACUUAAUUAUUGCUUAAGGGAAUUAAGGUGUCUAGCUUAGCUAUUUUUUUUUUUUUUUUUUUUUGCUUACGCAUAAAAAAUGAUGCAACCGAUUGAUACUUAAAACGACUCUAAUUGAGAUAUAUAAACCAAAAGAAUCUAGAUCAUAUAAAAGGGAAUACUGUAUAUGUAUAUAAUACUCUACGUAGAAUUAUUCAGUUGAGGAUUUUAUUUAAUUUAGUUUCUUAAGUGAAUACUAAUAUGCUAAGACAUUAACUAAAACUAAUGUGACAGGUUUUUGUCACGAUCAAUGUGCUACAAAAACACAUGACACCUAAACUGAAAAACUAAAUAAGACCCGAAGUAAAAAGUCUUUGAACAUUUACUCUUCUGUCUCUUAUUUAUUGCGCAGCUUUACAUGUCAACGAGGAACAUAACCAAUCAUGUUAAAUGGAAGAUCGCAUCACAACAAACAAUGUUAGCUAACAAACAACCAUGACUUUUUAAGUUGUUUGAACUUAUUGCUUACGGGAGGAUUUUAAGAGAAGUGUCGGGAUUUGUUUUGGUGAUCUAAACAAGUCUUUUUAGAAAAAUCUUAGCUCAACAUUGGCUUAAGAUGAGAGCUCAUCCACUUCGUGUCAUCUCCGUGUUCUUUUUCCUCUUCAUCUUAUAUCAGAUCACUUCUUCUAAGUCAUUACUUUACUCUCCAGAAAUUUUUACAGUCUCAAGCAACCAAACCCUUGUGUCUCCUGGAAAUGUCUUCGAGUUAGGUCUCUUCAAACCCAACAUAUCCGUUAGUUGUUGGUAUCUUGGGCUAUGGUACAAGGAAGACCCAAAGAGAACCAUUUUAUGGGUAGCCAACAGAAUGAAACCUCUCACCAAACCUGUAGGAACCCUCAAAUUCUUCGACACAAAUCUUGCCAUGUUCGAACAAGAAACUGAGAUCCCUGUGUGGUUGACCAAUCUGACCGGAGAAGGUGUGAGGUCUAGGAUGGUGGCUGAACUUGUCGAUAAUGGUAACUUCGUGAUUAGGGACUCGGAAGGUUACUUAUGGCAGAGCUUCGAUUUUCCAACAGAUACUUUACUGCCUCAGAUGAAAAUCAAAGUACUUGAUUCCUUUCCUAGUAAAGAAGAUCAGCACAAACUCCUCUAUCCCUGGUUUAGUCCAAGCGACCCCUCACUCGCGGAUGAAUCCUUUGAAAUUCAUAAUGAAUCAAACAUAAUUGCAAUAUAUAAUGGAGGGUACGAAAGAGAUACAUGGAACGGGUACCAAUUUGGGGACAUGCCCCCAGUGUUGGAGCUUAAGGAAGGUUGGUUAGUAAUGAAGACCCUCAAAAACAGCAGCUACUCCAGGUUGACAAUACGGCAAAGCGAUCUUUAUGAGUUAUACUCGUGGAACUCGAAAGCCAAGGAAUGGAUCCUGACAUGGUCCUCUACCCCUUGCUAUGAGAGACUCCUCGAAAAUCAAUGUGGAUCUUAUAGUUACUGUUCCAAGAAGGAUAUGUCCCCAGCGACGUGUAACUGCAUUAGAGGGUUCCAUUUGAAGUUGGAACGUAAGCGAAAUGACUGUGUGAGGAAGACUGCUCUACAUUGUAGAGGAUAUGGGUUUACGAAGCUACCACAUAUGAAAUUGCCGGAAACCAUAUCUGAGGUCUGAAUUUGGAUGAAUGCAAGGCGUCGUGCCUUGUGGGUUGUGACUGUACCGCUUAUGCGGUUGUGGAAUAUCGGAAAGGAGAGCGUUUGUGUAUGACUUGGAAAGACGAGCUCCAACGUAUGCAAACUACACCUCCGGCGGUCAAAACCUAUAUGUCAGAGUGGCGGCUAAUGAUCUUGGUUAGUCUAACCCUAAUUUAUUUAGUUAGUUAGUUUCGUUAAUCAAUCUUUUUAUCAAAUAAAUUCAAACAAACCUAUCCCCCCUCCCACGUAAACGAAUAAUAAAUAUAGAAAACACAACCUAUAUAAUAUAAAUGAUGACGGGCCUAGAUUUGCUUUUCGAAUUAGAUCUUUCAUAAGUGUCUUGGUCGAUUUUAAAGAUUUUUUUCCUCGAUUAAUUAUGGCCUUUUUGCGAAGGAUAAAUAACGCAUAAUUAUGCGAAAAUCAUUAAUUUUAGACCAAUCAAAGCUAGGCAUGUCAAUUAGAGCUAAAGCCCGCGUGCUAGUUUGGUCCGUUCCUGAAAAAUAUCGGGGUCGGACUUAAAUAUAUAUGUCCAGAAAAAACCGGGUUUUUGGGCUAAUCCCAUACGGAUUAAAGGAUUUUUUGGGCUUAGCCCGGUCGGGCUCGGGCCGGCCCGAAAGCCCUUAAACAAAUAUAUUUUUAAUUUUUUAAUAUUUAAGUUUGAUUAAAAGAUUUGAUUAAUGUUAUAGUUUUCAUAUUUACUUACUAGCCUUACUUAUUAUUUUUAAAAUCUUUAUCUAUAAUAUUUUCUCUUAUUUAUAUAUGUCAGAACUGAACAAAGCUAAAACUAAAUAUAUAUAAGUAUCAUGAUUUUGAAAUCAUCAAAAUAUAUAUUAAAUUUUGACUCUAUCAUAUACUUUAAAGUAUUUUAGUUCCAUGUUUUAUUGGGUUAAAGUGUAAAUAAUUUAUUUGGCUUUUAUUUUUUCUCUUAAAUUAAGUUAGUUUUAUUGAAUAUUGAUAAGUUAUUUAAAAUUUGAUGCAUUAUUUUUAUAGUAGACCUUUAAAUAUAGUUUUUGAAAUACUAUUAUGAACUUUGAAAUUGAUUUUUUAUCGGUAAGUAAAGCCCAAAAAAGCCCGAAAAGCCCUGUAACCCUGUUAGGACCGGGCCGGGCUUUCAAAUAUAGGCUCGGAAAUUUUUUGGGCCGGGCCGGGCCGGGCUCACGUAUAUGAGGGCUUUACGGGUUUCGGGCCGGGCCGGGCCGGGCUAGCCCGAUUGACAUGCCUAAUCAAAGCCCUAGAAAAAAGUAUCAAUCAUGCUUAUACAUUGUAAAAGUUAUGUUUUCUCUGAUUUACCUCCCACUAAUUGAUACCUUAUUGUUUAGAUUUAGCAAGCAAAUAUUAUGACUAGCAUAACGAAUAUCCUAGAUUUAGCAAACUAAUAUAUGAAGAUAAAUUCAAUAUCCCAUUUUAUUAGCAUAAAACAUAAACCAUAAUAUAGUGACCAUUUGAUUUGAUUUCAUUGCGGUGGAAUAUUAUAACCAUUUAUUCAAUAUUUUUUUAAUAAAAAUUAAAUGAUAGAUUUAAGAUUGAUAUUACUAUUGAGUUUAAUCUUAAUAUUGAUUGGAAUACUUAAAAAUGCAUUUGAGUGAGAACGAAGGUGUCGAAGACUCGAAGUACAUUUGUGUUGCGGGUCGGGUCAAGCUAAAAAUUUAAUCCAAAAAUGAUAAUUUACUUUAAAAUUGGAUAUUUAAUUUAAUUAGUAUAGAAAUUCGGAUACUUCCCCUGUGGAUUAUAUUAUUUACAUAUCUAAUUUGGAUUUCCUAAUAUUACUGUAACUAAUUUUAAAAAUAUACUAAAACAAUUAUUAUUCUCUUUUCAUCUUAAUUUGAUCUUUUUAAAAAAAAAUUAUUAUAUUAUAAUAUAUAAUAUUAUUUUUACAUAUGUUGCAAUUUAGAUUUUUCAAAGCGAACAUAUAUUACUCGAACGGAAAAAAAAAUAUGUAUCUACAACGUCCCACAUCAGCUAAAAUACUUUUGACAAUACUUCAUAUUAUUAUAAAUAAGACCAACAUGCUUCGAACUACGAAUGAGCAGUACACUUGAUUAUCAUGCAUCCAAAUUUAAAAGUUUUAUUUUAUAUAAUCUGAUUCUAAGUUUGAGCAAAUUAAAAUUAUUAAAAAUCUUCAAAAUAUUAUAAUAGUUAAAUUUUUAUAACUUUUAAGAUUUUUUUUAAAAUUUUAGAAUAUUAUAAUUUUUAUCUUUUAAAAGUUUAAAAUACUAUAAAUAUUGAAACUUUUAAAAGAUUCAUAUAUUAUAAAUAUUAAAACUUUUAAAAGGUUCGAAUAUUAUAAAUAAUAAUUGAUAAUUUUGCAACGGGUCAUACCAUAUAUUAAAAUCAUUGAUAAUUUUGCAACGGGUUAGAGCAUAAUACACACCACUUAAGUUUUACAACCAAAUACUUUGUAAUACCUAAUCUUACAUAAAUAUGAUUUCAAAUUAUAUGGAAAACUUAUUCACUUUUAGUGAACAUUUAUUUAUUAAAAAAUAUAUUAAUAUAAGUACUUACCAAAACUUAAACUAUAUGGAUUACCGAAAACAGAAUAAUUACUCUCCACUGCCAAUUGCAACUAUUUGAUCAAUAGUGUUUAUUGAUCAUAAAAAAUUAUCAACACAACCGGAAAAAUCUCUCAUAUGGAAAAUGUUUUUGUUAAUAAAAAACAAGUCAAAAAUUUUCCCACGCGCUGUAGUGCGGAUCCGAUUCUAGUACAAUACAUUAGGAGAUAUUCCGCACGGAUGACGAUCUUUUGAAGAAAUGAUUAAAAAUAUAAUAGGUUGUGUAUUAAUAUUUGGUAUUUAAUAGUAUAGGAUAAAUAGAAUUUCAUGUUUACUUGUAUAUUUUAAUUUUAAGUUUAUAGAGCUACAUCGUGUGUUGAUUUGAUAAUUUACUUGUAUAGAAAGUAAAUAGCGUGUACAGUAGUAAUUAGGUUUGGUUUUAAUACUCCCAAAUACCGCUAAAUUUAUUGAGCACGGAUAUUACCGCAAUUAGUGUUUAGGAAAAUGCGAUCUUUUAAUAUAGUUUAGUGUAUUGUAUAUUGGUUGAAAGAUGUGUUUCAUUACAUAAGUGAUAUAUAGCAAUUCCAUAAAUUUGGAAAAUUUAUUCAAAAAUCCCUUAUGAAUAGUAUUUAGUUAUUGGCAAAAACAUAUGAUAAACUAAAUAUAUGAUUAGGGUAACGAAAUUAUUUUUUGAUGUAGUGGAUCAGCCAAAAAAUGGUAGAAAGAGCAAAAACUUUUGGGUUAUCGGACUGGGAAUCAUCGGCGGAUUUUUUCUGAUAGGCUGUUCCUGCUUUUGUUAUUAUUGGAAGAGACAUCAAGGAACAACAACUACACAACUUACACAAGGUCGUAAAAACUCAAAAGAAACUCAAAAUUCUUUUUCUUGUUUUUUCAUUUGUCGUUUCCUUUUAUUUAUACUAACUUUUUUUGUUUUUUAUUUGUUUCAGAAUCAGCCCAAAGGGAGAUCAUCAUGAACGAACUAGUCGGGCCUGUAGACAGAUUCCAAUUUAUGGAAUUUCGAGCUGUUGCCGAAGCCACCAACCAGUUCGCUGAGAGUAACAAACUCGGACAAGGAGGUUUCGGAACAGUUUACAAGGUUCUGUAAUCUUUAUAUACUAUAUAAUUAAUAGUUUGGUCUUUAUAGUUACUUUAAGCAUUAAUUAAGUUAUCUAUGAUAAAGUGAGUUUUUUGAUAAUGAAUAUAUGUACCGUACGUGAUCACUCACAGGGAACACUACCCGAUGGUAGUGAAGUCGCCGUCAAACGACUGGCGAACACGUCUUCACAAGGAAUGACGGAAUUCAGAAACGAGAUUCAGACGAUCCUGAAUGUAUUACAUCUGAACUUAGUGCGGCUGCUAGGUUGUUGUUGCGAACGAGAAGAGAUCAUUUUGAUCUACGAGUUCUUAGAAAACUCUAGCUUAAAUCAAUAUAUUUUUGGUUAGUAUAAUCAUCACUUUCUCUUUCUAUAUAAUAUAUAAACUUAUUUUAAUCUAAUCAAGAGAAUAAUUUUUUCGACACAGAUAAAACUCGGAGUAAAUUAUUGAAUUGGGAUACGAGAUACAAAAUUAUUAAAGGGAUUGCGGAGGGUCUGUUGUAUCUUCACAGUUACACAAACCCUCCGAUAAUACAUCGUGAUCUGAAACCUAGUAACAUCUUACUAGGUAAAGAUAUGAUCCCAAAAAUCUCGGAUUUUGGGAUGGCGAAAAUACUUACAGGUGACCAGAGAGAAGUUGCAACGGAAAAAGCUGUCGGUACUCGGUAAGCAACGAAACAACAUCGUAUUAUAUAUUAUUACUGAAAUUGAAAAGCAAACACAGAAACACUCUUUGCCUAAUAUAUCCGUUACAUAAUAUAGGGGAUAUAUGGCCGAAGAAUAUGCCAUGCAUAUGACAGUAUCGCAAAAGUCCGACAUAUUCAGCUUUGGGGUCACUGUCCUCGAGAUUGUUACCGGAGAAAGAAACUUGGAGUAUUGCAACUCGUUUAGAGGAGAUAGUCUACUGGAUAAGGUAAAAAAAAAACAUUAUUAUUUAUUUAUGUUUUUUAAACAUAAAAUAUAACUGAGUUUUACGUGAAAAAAAAUGCUUGUAACAGGCAUGGAGAUAUUGGAACGACGGGAACUGUAUCAAUCUCAUAGAUUCUAACUACCUUGAUUCAUCCCUAGUGGAAGAAGAGAUUUUGAGAUCCAUACAGGUUGGUCUCUUAUGUGUUCAACCACAUGUAGACGACAGACCGAGCACAAAGUCUCUGUCGUAUUGAUGCUCCAAAGCCAACAACAUGAUAUCCCCAAGCCAAGAAUUCCCAAUUAUUUCUAUGCGAGGAUCCUCCGCGAUGAGGCCCCUUCGUCUUCGUCAGUCGGACAAUCCAGCACUGUGAACUAUGCCACUGCGUCAGGCAUUGAUCCUCGGUGAUGUAUUAUCUGGUAGGGUAUUCUUAAAUAUGCCACUUAUAUAUUUGAUGCUUUGUUUGUUUAAAUAUGAUACAAUCCGGUUGUUGUUAUAUUUGUAACCGGAAUCAACUUCAUUAAUAUUUAAUAAUAAUACUCUUGGUAUUGGUUGUAUCAAUUUAUAAUCUUGUCUCCUAAUAGGUCUUUUGUGGUAUCUCCUUUAUAAGAUGACACCUUUCUUGUUUAUCUGCCGAGUGUUGUUCACUCCAUAAUGAUUGUUCACUUCUUUAUUUGUUUGCCAAUGGUUUUAUAGCAAAAGUUUAACUCAUCUGCUUUUAAGUUAAAUGGUACACACAUCUGCACUAAGCUGCAUCUUAUUAAACGACCUUUCUGCCCAUGAGUUCGUGUUGUAGAGCACGUGCUUGUCAAGUGCGUAUCCAGGCUUACAAACGUACUCCACCAGGUAAUCCGAGAGGACACAAGGGAUUUCAUGGCGUAUAAACUCUUGGAUCCAGAUGUCGUCCCGCGGCAUCCCGGGGCUUAUCAACGCGAAAUCAGUGUUUUCAUUCAAGAAACGCGUGUACGGAGGCGCUGUUGCCAAUAUCAUACCAUCCCCAGCUUUCACAGCUCGCUUUAAUGUAUCCUGAUUACGGCCAAUAACAUAUAGAAAGACAUCAAGAACCAAUAAAAAAUGACAAGGAUGUGUGACAUAUAUCUAGACGAAUCAUUCUAGUGUUUCAACUCUAUCAAUCUCUUUUAGCUAAAUUCCAUCAGGUUUCUUGUUUUAAGAGACGAAUUCACUCUGCCAAGGAAAUCAAGAACGAAGAAAUUUGGCAGAGCUGUGAGAAAUACAUUACUUACCAAAGAAGGGAUGGUGCAGUCACCGUAUACAACAAUGCGCAGUCCAUAUAAAGCACCAUGUCCUGUUUGCUCCCUGACGAGCCGCCAUUUCCUUGGGGACUCGAGGCUUAUCGCACCAUCAGCACUAAGACCACUGCUGUGCCAUUCAUAAGGCUCCUCUGGUAAUAGUUUCCCAGCUUCCUUUGAAUCAGCCACAUAGUCAGUCUUCAGAAUCCAACUGCGUUACAGAAACUGAUGAGUAAAAGAUGAAAAGAAAAAGUUUUCAUCAAAGCAGAAGCUCAAACUAGGAAACUGUUUGAAAAUCAGGGCUUAGUUUGGUGUUCGACACAGUACAGAGGGUGUAUGAUACUAAAGGGUUGAUUGUAAAAAGUUAUUGUACCUUCCAGAUGCAGCAGCAGCGAAGAACUUUUCAGUUCUACGGAUUUCAGGAGCAAUAAAAUGUGUUGCUUGAUAAGACCACUGAUGAGAAUCUCGGCAACAUUUUCCUUUUAAACGCCUAAUGAUCUGCUGAUAUUCGUUUCUCUGGGACCUAGGACCACUGACAAUAAAACACUUCGGCUCAUGCUCUUGGUCCUGCAAGACUUUUCUACUAGCCAAGGGAUUAGCCCUGAGCUGCGUAGACUCUUUAUCCACCUUUGUACCUGUUGUAGCUGACUUUGCAACUUUCUUUCUUGCUAAUGCUUUUCCUGAAACUGGGCUUUGGUCUCCACCAGAACCGAUCUUCCCAGAUUUACUAUCCGCUGCAAUAUUCUCCUUAUCUUUUGCAGAGUUAUCCCCUAUAUUGUUCAUCACAGUGUCAGUUGUUUUGGCGCCACUUCCUUUUUUCGAUUUUUUAGUCUUCUUAACACUGGAUUUUCCUACUUCAACUGUAGAAGAACUUCCCAUCUUUCCACUUUGAAGACCACUUCUAUCUACAAUAGCUUUCUUUCCGUGUUUACAUUUAUUCUUAUCAACCUCUAAUUGCAUUGCAGCAUUACUUGGGUCCUUAGCUGCAGCCUCCUUUCUAACUAGUAGUUUCCCCGCAACCAGGCUUUGAGCUCCAUCAGAAUUGACAUCUCCAGAUUUCUUAUCUACUGCUACAUUCUCCUGCACUUCGGCAGAGCUAACCCAUAUAUCAUUCAUAACAGUAUUGUUUGCUUUGGCGUCAUCUUCUUUUCUAGAAUAUUUCACCUUUUUGACACAAGGUUUUUGAAGCCAAGUGUUUUCUACAGUGGCCUCCUUUCUGCGUUUACUUUUAUUCGUAUCAACCUCAGAUUGCACUUCAGCAUCACUUGGAUCUUUAGUUGCACCUUCCUUUCUUGCUAAUGUUUCUCCUGCAACUGGGCUUUGGUCUCCACCAGAACUGACCUUCGCAGAUAUAUGUUCAAAAGCUAACUUAUCCUUCUCAUCCGAAGAGUUAUCCCCUAUAUCUUUCAUCAGAGUACCGAUUGCUUCUGUAUCAUGUUCGUUUCUAGAUUUUUUGGUCUUCUUAACACUGCAUUUUCCUACUUUGACUGUAGAAGAACUUUCUUUCUUUCCACUUUGAAGGCUAUUUUUGCAUACAGUAGCCUCCCUUUUGCGUUUACUUUUAAUCUUAUCAACCUCUAAUUGCAACGCACCACUUGGAUCUUCAACUGGAACAUCAGUAAGCUCCAGUUCUAGCACAGUAAUUUCCACAUCUGCAUCAGCUUCCUCUGAGGUCUUAGCCUGCAGCUUACCUUGGUUCACCAUCAAAUCCAGCCCAAGAUGGUCUUUCUCUUCUGGGGCUAAACAUUUAUUAUCUAGAGAGUCAAUUCCCUGGAAGGCUUCAGUCUCUGAGUCAAUAUGUUUUGCCAUUUCUGGUACAACCUCAGUAUUUAGGACAGGGCUUGAUAUCUUCUUCUGAUUUCUGUUACCUGAUUUAGGCACUGAAACUUGUCCUCUGUUUAGACAAUCAUUGCGCUCAUCCUUUCGGGUAGGUUCACUCAAGUAUAUUGAUCCCUUUUCGUUAAUGGGGUUCUUUUUCCUGCCUCUGGUGCCUAGGCUCUUUUUUGGAACUGUUUUCUUCUUGGGCAGCUCUGUUUCUUGAUCGUCUUUCAUUUCAAUUAAACCCGGCCCAGGAGAGGUGCUGCUAGAUAUCCUCAUCACAGGUUCAGUUACAGAUCUUUCAGGUACCUCAUCCAAUGCUUCCUCCUUAGUAGAAUUUUCAGGCGUCCGCAUAUCAGCUUCCAUGGGAACAACACCUGAACUGAACAACCUAGCUGCUGAAUCACUCAGAUCCAAGUUAUGUGCAGCUUCCCUGCCUCCAGCGUGGUCACUGAGGUUUGGCACAACCCUAAGGUUUUGCUUAGGCGAGACUGAUCUUGGUUCAUGCAAUAAGACAUUUCCCGCCAUUGCCUCAGCCAAUGAACUCUCCGAUUUAGUGUUAAACACACUUGCGGCAGAUUUAUGGCCAAAUUCCCCGCUUUCAGUUGGAUCAUUAAUGCUUGUCACAAGCCUAAGGUUUUCUUUAGGCGAACUUGGUCUUAAUUCCUGCAAUAACAAACUAGUCGGUGAUGGAAUACUUGCCUUGCUCUUGUGAUGUACCUUCUGUGAAUCUUUGCUACUGACGGAUUCAUCUGUAAAUUUUGCCUGAGGCAUCAUUGGAGGGGACUCCUUGCCAUGCAACUUAUCAAUCUUGUCAAAAUCUUCAAAGAGUAUUGUUCUUUCCACGGAGGAACCAGAUUUUGAUGCAGAGAUAUUAAAAGAAGUCGAAGCUUUUUGUCCCUUGUCAUCCAUUUGCAGAGAACCGUUUUGGCCACUUGACUCUUUUCCCAGAGUAUUUGUUUCUGGUGAUCUCUGAAGUGUUUUUCUUGAAUAAGUGGCUAGAGAAGAAUGCCUUCUGAUGCUCCUGUUAAUAGACAUCUGGCUAUCAGUCUCCAUUUUUCUCAUCCCUAGCUCACGAGACUUGUUUGCAAGCCUAAUGGGGGACAGAAAAUUGGAAGUAUCCUGACAUGUGCUUUCUCUCUGGUAAUUAUGUUGCUGAGCAACACUAGGAUCAGUAGAGACCACGGCUUCAACAGGUCUGUCCGUAUUUUUAGGAGUCAACCCAUUGUCUUUGGACGUAUUACAUAAUGAUGAAACUUCCUGUGCGCCUGAAUUUGUUUGAACAACAGGGAUAUUUUUUUCUCCCGGCUUAGACAUUUCAGCUGCAGCCCUAGCACCGACCCUAAGACCAAGAGGGCUGUUGUUUACACACUUCACAGACGCAUCUUCGUCCUCAGAAUCCCUAGCUGAAGCCUCCAUCAUCUCCAACUCGUAGGCACUAACAAAAGAGAAAAUGAUCAGCUUGUAGUGGAAGUAUAUGCUGAACAGUAACACUAUGAAUCAGGGUGAAAGGAGCACGAAAUCCAGAAACCAAUUUCUUCAAGAAGACAUCAGUUCAUCGUUCAAUAAGAGCCUACACCAACUCUAUAGAAUAGCAAAUCUAGGCGGUCUACUAAUACAAGAGAAUAGAGAUGGAUAUGUCAGCACUUUUACCUUAUCUCGUAAUCAACCUCAGGAAGGAGCUUCCAAUUCUUUAGGCUGCAAGGAAAGAAAGAAAUAAAGCGAAAAAUAAAAUCACAAUCACAAAACGAAAAACGAAAAAAGUGUAUGAAGAGAACUUUUGUAUGCCUCUUACCAGUCCUCUAACCACCGGUGGUUCACUAGUUUAAUCCUCUUCAUCCGCUUGGCUAGCUCAUACUUUUCUCCUGCACAGAAAGAAAUGUUGGUUCCCCCGAAAAACACAAGCUUAGGAAAGUAAAAGAUGUGACACCUAAUGGCUGCGAUCAAGUAAAUGACGCACCCUCAAACUUGUAGCAUAUAAGAUGAGUGAUUCGGUUAGCAACCAAGGGCUUAGAGAAGUUCCCACCCAUCAAAUCAACCAUUGUCUGUAAAAGGAAGAAACAAGGCUCAAAAGGGUUACAAAAACGGGAAACAAAUACCAAAAUAACAAGAUGAAGAAAAAGGGAAAGCACACCACACCAUAAUGUCUUCUCUAUCUUGACCUUGGUACCCGGUCAAGCACACAACUAAUGUACUGGAACCUGGAACGCCAUUCAAAUCUCUAAGAGGCCUAUACAAAACCUGUGAACAAAUAAAAGCAAUCAACAACAAGAAAAGAUAAUAAAUGGCUAACAAAAUCAUACAGAAACUGACCGAAUUGGCAUCGAGAAGUGUUCCAAUAUCGGAGCUGUGAUCAACCCAUGACCCUGUGACAACCGCCUUCCCACUGCUUCGAGCAGCGACGCAAAUCGGGUCAUCCUAAGAGAGGUGUCAACAACAACAACAACAACAAAAAGUAAGAAUCAUUUGAACAAGAGACUCAAGAAAGUAAGAAAAUUUAGAGAAUUGGACUAACAUAAACAAGCUUAUCUACGAUGAGGUGAGUACAGGAUUGAGAGUUUUGGCCAACAUCAACACCACCACCACUCACAAGCUUGGACCGUAACUGUUAUGGCAAAAUCAGAAACCUUACAAUAUUUACAAGAAGAAGAAGAAGAAAGAAAAAAACCGAAUCUUGAAGAGAGUAGAGAAAUACCGAGUUUUCAUGGAUGGGAUUGAAUCCAACGAGAGCGAAUUGAACACCCAAAAACGUCUUAGGAGUAGAACUCGAUUCCUGCAUUAUUUGUUUUUGAGUGGGAAAAUUAGGGUUUCAUCAGGGUGGAUAAGACCGAAACUUGGAUUGAAUCCCCAAAUAAAAUAAAAUAAAAACCCAGAUUUGUACAGAAAUCGACUUCAAUCAGAAUUCAGAAGGAAACACAAAAAAAGAAGAAGAGAUUUUUAGAAGAAGAAAUUGGGAUUUUGCAGAGAGAAGGAGAGAAGAGAGUCGUCCCCGGGAAGAUUCAGAACUGUAUUGGCAAAGCGGGGGAAAUUGAAAAAAAAAUGAAAACUUUUGAUUUUCCUUUUUUCUCUUUUUUUUAUAUAAUUUAUUAAAUGGCUCGAGUGGUCUGGCGGGAUAAGCAAAAUCAACGUGGCGCCAUCACGUGACUCUACCGACUAGUGAAAAUUGGUUUGGUUUAAUUCAAAUCCAAAUUGAAAUUUGUUUGGUUCGGACCAAACUAAUUGCUGGCGAAACCGGAACAAUAUUUAUAACGGGGACAUGCAUGCAUGAGCUUGACAAUGUACAAUAACUACGACGAACGAACCAAAGAGACUUUUCAGAACUACUACGAUACUUAUUUUUAAAAAAAUACGUUUUCGGAUGCAAAAGCAAAUUUAAAUUAAAAAAAACAGUAUAUACAGUGAAAAUGUGUGUUUGGAACCUAAACCAAAAUAACACGACUGAGUAAAGUGACACAAUUGUUGUAUGAACGAACUGUAUCAACUUCUCUAAACCCUUUGUGGUAUUCUCAACGGGCGGUGUUAUUGUCUCUAAAUCUUUUUUUGUAAAGGUUUCCUUUUUUUUUUUGUUUUUUUUUGGUCAACAAUAAAGGUUUCCUUAGUUAUACCAACAUUACUUUAAAAAUACAAUAGUUAACACUUAACACUAUCCUAAUUUUGUGUAUUCUAACCAAAGUCUCCUCAACUCUCACCUGAUUUAACGUAACCCACUUGGUUCUUUCUAUUCAUACUUUUACACAUUGGUAAAAUCAACAAAACCCUCGUUUACCAAUGUGCUGUCUGAUUUGUGGCAUGCAAAACAACAUCAAACCGAAUUAAAAAAAAAAAAAAAGAUUUAACACAGCGUUUAAAAAAUAAAAAUAAAAAUUGACACACAAAAAAAAAAAAAACAAUGGGAAAGUGCAUCUAAGCAGAACCACCAACGUUAUGUGCAGCAGUAGUAUAUAUAUCAUACAUUCAUGUACCUCUCGAUAUGUCAUGUCCAAAGCGAAGAAAGUUUUGUCUUUUGCUAGUUUUCUUCGUUUUGUGUGCAUUUGAUUAGACUUCUGUCAAUUCAUUUAAAAAAAAAAAAAAAUGUAGCCUUUUCUGAUGGUAAAAUAACCUGUUGUCUGAAAAUUUUAUUAGCUACAAUCUUUUAUUUUUCUGAAUUUUAUUAGAAAUAGAACUUUAUAUUUUAAAUUUG
rnacentral:lncRNA from 1 species